rnacentral:sRNA from 1 species
UCCAGCACGGACCGCCGAGAUUGGGC